rnacentral:lncRNA from 1 species
CUCUCUAGUUGGGGUGCCUGUGAAACCGGCAGGCUCUCUCCAAAUGCCUGGAUUCUGCUGGGGGAGUAAGAAGUCAGGAGUAGUUUGUCUGAUGGUAUUGGGAUCUGCUUUGCAAUUGCCAAGCGCUAAGGCACAAGCUGGCAGAUGUGCUGCGGCUCUGCUACGGGCGGCUCUGUCGCCUUCAGUCGCAGGCUGGUUCUUUGGGGGAAAGUUGUAUCCAAUAUUGGUGACUCCCGGGAAUAGUCUGUUUGUGUGCUACUUAAUGGUCUCUAGGCUUCCUUGUCUUGUAGAACCUUGUUAGAAAGGAGCCUUGGUGAUUAAGAGGCUAUGGAGUACACAGCCUUGCUUAGCAGAUGAGCCCUUAUCCAUUUCCCGUUUCCUUAAAAACGGCUAAUUGAUGGAUGCUGCAGAAAACAUGCACUCUGCUAAUAAGAUGCUGAUGACAAAAUAGGUAUCAGGAAAGGCAUUUACUGCUUAUGAGCACCAUCAGCUUUCUUUCGAGUGAGAUUGUGGCUUUGUAGUAAAGUUUUUUUUUAAGUAAUAUGCUAAUAGUUUUAUUCUAAAUCGGCCAGCGCUGAAUAUCUUCAGGAAAAUGGGUUCCAUGAGAAGUGACAUCCUCCUCGAAUCAAAAGAUUCUCAGGAUGAUGGAGUGAGUGAUGGAAUAGGUUGCCAACUGUAGUUACUCCACUCAGCACAGAAUGGCUGCGGGGAAAUAUAAUCAGACAUGCCCAAAGAAGUCUGCUUAGGGUGAAACAAAUACCUUUGAGGUUUAAAUCAGGAAGGAGAGACUGUUUCUACAGGUGUCAUACAAAAAUCAAUACUGAGCCAAGGAUUAUUGGAUCCCAUAGAACCACGGAGACUUGGUAGUGAAAUUCUUCCAAAGGCAGAUGGUGUUCCUAGGUUUGGAAAUAUAAAUCCCAUGGGAAGUCAGCUGAAGACCAUUUUAUGCAUCACUCAUCCUGUUAGAGCCCUGUGCUGUUCUGUCUCUCUAUAAGACUGGCUGAAACCACCACGGUUGUUUACAAUUUAUGCUCUAACUUUGGAUCACCUAGUUAAUACUCUAACUCCGAUUAUUACCAAAGACAAUGUUCUAUAAAAGAUAUUGUCUAUUAGAAGGAUGCUUCUGCAUUAUUAAUAAAAUCACAGGGAAAAUGCAACAUUUUGGAUGUCACAUCUGAUAAGUGGGUGACUGAUCGUACCCGCCAGCUGGCUAAUGUCAUAAUUAACAAAGUUGCUACUACAUCUGCAAAGUUUAAUCGAAAAAUUUGCCAGUGAUAUGAUGGCCUUGUCACAGAGAUCACAAGGGACACGGAGUUGACUUUUGCUCAAGGUGGAACGACAGAGCUGUGUAGGCAAGAUGAGAAAUUGCGAACUUGUUCGGCCAAAGGAGGCUAAUAAUGAAGGGGCCGGGAAGGAGGCCAGUGCUACCAGGGUUAUCUCACAACCUCAGAUGCUGGAUAAGUCGACGGAGGCAGAAUCGCUUUGGGAUGACAUUCAGAAAGCCUGGAGUGAUUACUUGCAAGAGAAAAGCCUACCUAUUCUUUCCAAGGUGCAGGAAUAUUCCCCUGACCUGCUCAUCCAGUGGUCCAGUAAUGAAUUACUGGAGACCUGCCUUAGACAAAGAAUGCACUCGGAGCCCCAACACACCUAAAGCCAUGCUUUGAAGGAUCUGCCAAGCUCACUUUUAAUCAUGAGAAAGAAAUUACCCACACGGAGUCAGCAGAAAAUGAGAAAGUAGAGCUCGUGCUGUGAAUAAUUCCAGCAAGUGCCAAGGGGCUAGUUGAGGAAUGGCUUCAUGAGAACAUGCUCUAGGGGAACUAUUAAUAGCCCACCAGUCGGGUAGGCAGCAUUCAAUCCUUCUAUGCCUUCUUUCGCCACCUGUUGAGGUCUUUCUUCUGAAACAAAGAAGAAAUAGACAAAUCAGACUUGCCCUCUUGGAAAUGUGGUCCAGAUUUCUCUACUCCCAAGCUCCAAAAAAGGUAUACAUUGGAUGGGCUAGAUCAACUCCUCCUGAGAGCCAUAAAUCCGCCAAGAGUUGUUUUCCAUGUAAGGGUGUGGUACAAUGGGGAACACCUGAUGUUGGAGGAAAGCAGGAGGACUUUAGAGUGGAGUUGCAUUCUAAUCUCUCUGCCGCUUCAACUAUGUGACCUGGGGCAAAUGAUAUAAACUCUAUGAGCCUCUUUCCUUAUCUUUAAAAUGAAGAGAAGUAAUACCUACCUUGUAGGGCUGUUGUGAGGAUUAAAUGAAGUAAUGCAUACAGUGCCUAACAAAGUAUUUAACAUCAUAUUUUUUAAAAGCUCAUGAAAUAUUAGUUUUUCUUCCUUCCCCUCUUUCUAUUUUCUCUCCUGUUCCCUUUUCUCUCCCUCCUCUGCCCUCUCCUUCCUUCAGAUGUUAGUCUAAAACAGCACCUUGGAUCUAAGCAGCACCUUUGAGAAAGAAAAGACUGCUUCAAGAAUGUCUAGUUGCACCUCCUUUCCGUAUGUGGCCUAAAUGCCUAGGUUGGAUCAAUAGUUUAAUUUUUUUAUUGAACUGUUUAAUAUUGACUAUGGACUUACAUUCACUUUUACUGUUUUCUGUAUAUUUACUUUUGCUUGAAGUGUUUUAAUAUUGACUAUUUACCUCUGCUCAUUUUUAUUGAUUUUCUGUAUUUUUUCAAUGAAAAUUAUAAUAAAAAUUAUUUUUGUUAUC